rnacentral:tRNA from 1 species
GAGGGUAUAGCUCAGUGGUAGAGUGCCUGCCUAGCAAGCACGACGUCCUGGGAUCAAUCCCCAGCACCUCCA